rnacentral:rRNA from 1 species
CAUGGCCUAACACAUGCAAGUCGAACGGUGAUGCGGAGCUUGCUCCGCGGAUCAGUGGCGAACGGGUGAGUAACACGUGAGUAACCUGCCCUUGACUCUGGGAUAAGCGUUGGAAACGACGUCUAGUACCGGAUAGGACUUCCACAGGCAUCUGUGGGGGUGGAAAGAUUUUUCGGUCAUGGAUGGACUCGCGGCCUAUCAGCUUGUUGGUGGGGUGAUGGCCUGCCAAGGCGACGACGGGUAGCCGGCCUGAGAGGGUGACCGGCCACACUGGGACUGAGACACGGCCCAGACUCCUACGGGAGGCAGCAGUGGGGAAUAUUGGACAAUGGGCGAAAGCCUGAUCCAGCAAUGCCGCGUGAGUGAUGAAGGCCUUAGGGUUGUAAAGCUCUUUUACCCGGGAAGAUAAUGACUGUACCGGGAGAAUAAGCCCCGGCUAACUCCGUGCCAGCAGCCGCGGUAAU